rnacentral:lncRNA from 1 species
CGUCGGGGUCGGGGCCCCGAGGUGCUCCGUCGCUGCGCAGGUGGGAGCGCAAAGGAAAGCACCGAGACGUGCGAGAGGCCAGGCGCGCUCCUCUCCGCGCGGUCGGAGCCGGGGGCUGAAGACCACUCGGCAGAGAGCCCCGCGGCAUCGGGGGCACCGUACUCUUUUGUUUGUUUGUCGUCGUUGUUGUGUAUUUCCUAAAGAACAAAACACAGACCCGAAGCGUACCCCGGGGAUUAACGUGUGAGCAAAAUUGCCUGCGUUUAUCGACAGCGUAUCUUAACCGAUGCCACCUCGUAGCGCUGUAAAUAAAAAGUCUGCAUAAUACCGUGAAGAUUCCAUCUUUUAGAGUACUCGGAAUCUGAUGUGUUUGAGUUCUGUCCCAAAAAACCUCUCGGAGAAUCAGACAGCUUGUGAAUGCAGCAGCUUGGAAUUCAGGUCUUCCUGCGCAGGUCCUCCCCUGCUCCUUUCCAGAGCUUUAAGGACACUGACCCUGCCUCCAAACCCAGGAGAUCUGCCUCUUAAACGCUACUGGCACAGCCGGCACGGGGAGCAGGAGGGGUUCGCAUUGACAGGAUUCCAGGCAAAAGCCGGAGUUAAAGAGCACAGCGGCCCCUUCCUCCUUGGUUCUCAUCUAUUUAAAACUGCUCUAAAAUAGAUCUUUUAAAUAGAUGAGAGACGGGAGCUUUCUGUAGCUGCAGAGUAAGGGAGCCACAUCGACAACAAAGGCUCCCGCCUCUGUGCCUCAGUGCCCUGAGCUCAAACCGCUGCUCGAGGAGAAAAUGGCACCGGGGGCUCAAAAAUCCCCACGGGGCUACACUGGAGCCUGAGCUCCAGAGGUUCGGAAGGAAACUGAAGAAGAAGUAGAUCCACCUUGAAAAUAACUCAGAAAUGAGCUGCUGAGACCGCUGGCUCCUCCCUCGGCGAAUGUGUACGUCUGCGGUGUUGUCUUUAACACCCCGAUCAGCUGAACUGCUCACUCUUCCAACGGAUGAUUACUGUCAAUCCUAAGCACGCCAAAUAUUUUUACAGUGUUUGGGGAACCAAAAAAAAAAAAUACCUUGAAACCAGAGAAGUGGUGAGAAGACUGAGUGAGCGGCGUGACACUGAUGUGGUGCUCGGGAUUGCUGCUCUGCACAAGGCCGCUGUCCUUCAGAAGUUUUCCGGCAUGAGAUCACGACUACUUGUGUGGCUGGGUUUGUUGUACAGAGGGCAAAAGCUGCAUCAUUCCACAGCAGGAGCCGAGUGCUUUUAAGAAAUGUUGGCUUUAAGUCACGUCACGCAGAGGGCAAGGGCGGUGUAUCACCGGCUACUGUGCAGCAAAUGGUGAGGGACCGCAAGAGAAACAGAUCCACGAAGGUGGAUGCCUUGCAAACAGUGAUCCGGGUUCAGAAACGCUACUGAAAAAAUUGCAAGCAACACAUGAGGAUUACCUUCUGCUCUGUUCAGGAGAAACUGGGGAGUUUUGCUUAAUUUAUGCAUAUUUUAGGCUGCUGUAAAGAGCUCUGAUCAGCAGCUUUGGAUACUGUAAGGGUAAUACAGUGACCCUCAACUUAGCCACAGAGGCUGCUCAGGAGAGGCUAUCUCUAGGUGUGAGCUGAGGAAGCACCUGCCAACAGGCUGCUUUGGUCAGGAAAAUCCUCCGGCACAUUGGAUAUACCUACCUGAUCGGAAUGCUCAGAAGGCUUCACAGCAGACAACGAAGAAAAAAAAUGCUUUGGUUAUCACAGAAGAACUUUGUGGAGGGUGAGAGGAAAGAAAGAAAUUGCCUACGAACAGACACUGGAGAGUGUUUUCUUCAGAGGACUACAGCUCCCAGAUGCUUCUGCUCCUUUCUGCUGCUCUAAGUUCUGCAGUUACUCAUCACUUGACUCUAAGCGGUUCCAGUCUGUUAUUCUGUAUCACAAUACAUGUUGAAUUGGUGGCAUCACAUUCCAUUCCAGCAAAAGUGACUGAAAACCCUUCCUGUCUCAUAGGCAGUGGGUGUUCUACUUUUCUUUCAAGUCCCCCUUUCUUUUCCCCUUCUCCCUCUGCCUCUCUUCACUCCACCAUGCAGUCACCACUUCUGCCAUCCCUGAGCAGCCAUGCAAGACAAGCACAAACUGUCUGGAGGGCUGAAAAUGGAAGACGCAGCAGAUGGAAACACCAAAAUCAUCCUUUUCUGUAGGCUCUCUGAAAGCAGAGAUGCAAGAGAAUUUUGUACACUGCUUUUUUGGUUUUCUUUUUCUUUUUUUUUUUCUUUUUGUGACUUGACACAGAUAUACCUGCUCGAUCUGGAUGCUCAGAAGGCUCCACAGCAGACAAUGAAGAAAACACGUAGCUGUAGAUGUCCCUGUUUAUUGCAGGGCAGUUGGACUAGAUAAACUUUAAAGGUCCCUUCCAACGUAAACAAUUCUACGAUUGUAUGACUUCUGAGAUUUCUAACUGAUUUUAAAACUUUAAGUGAUCUUUAUGCUGUUAGUAAAUUCUUUUAAAAUGAUAAGGAAGUAGUGCUACAUAAAGUGAAACUGUCAAAGACUUUACACAUUGAUUUGGCAAGCUAGGAUUGUCAGCAGUACUCACCUGUAUGUCACAACCAGGGACAUCUGUUAGAAAGAGAGGUGCCACCGCUGUGUUAACUCACACAUAGAUGACUGUAUCACCAAGGAGGCUGUGCAGCCUGAGACCUGCCACAGUCAUGCUGGGCUGAAGUGAGAUUUUUGUUGAAAAGAAGAUAAUGGGUGGUUCUGGGCACCACUGAGGCAUAUGCAGGGCAGUAAAGUAGACAAUGGCAAUCUUAGAGACCCAGAGAUGCAACAGACCAUCCAUCUCUGGUCAUUUCUGUCACAUGAAAAAGCAAACUUAAGUAAUCUCUGAAUUUUCUGAGCAUGGACAGCAUCUCAGAAAAAAUCACAAAUGCUGAACAAUUCUGAAGUAUGUUUUAACUCUGUUGGAUUUCUGAUCAAGAAUUGAAGUACAAAGAUACAUUGCUAGUAAGUAAAAUGCUUGCUGUUAUAUCUCUGCGUCUAUUUCGUACAUUAGAACUUGGAUUUUCCUCAAGCAUGUCUUAAAUCUAGAAGGAAGGAUCCAUUUUUACUGUAAUCAAUUACUCACCUGAUUUACAUUCCAUGUUGGUUAGAAUUCAAGGAGUGAUGGAGCCCUAUGUCCCCAGCUGGCUCAUGCUUACUAUAGACAAGUGAUCACAUUUGGUCCUUGUCAGGCUUAAGAAUUCAGUUAUCCAAAAUUCAGUCAUGACAAUUCAUUUCAAACAGCAGUUAUAGCUACACUUUAAUCAGAACUGGCAAUGGAAGCAACAUAUUUUCUGACUGUACAAUUACUGAUCACUUUAGGCCUAUGUAAAGCAGGAAAAUAAAUUAAUUACAAAUUUGCUUCAGAAUACUACACCAAAGAUUUAAUAUAAACUGAUUUUUCCCAUUUGCCGGAUGUUAACAGGAUCGCUGGUGAAUUUGCACAGGUGAUUAAGCUCUUUGAGGGUAAAUCUUAUAAGAAAAAUAUUUUAAAAUAUGAUUUAUUAUUUUUAACUACUUCAAUUGAAAGCAAUAAAAUUCUCUGCUCGGUGCUUAA